GAUGAACGCUGGCGGCGUGCCUAAUACAUGCAAGUCGAGCGAACAGAUCAGGAGCUUGCUCCUUUGACGUUAGCGGCGGACGGGUGAGUAACACGUGGGUAACCUACCUAUAAGACUGGAAUAACUCCGGCAAACCGGGGCUAAUGCCGGAUAACAUGUUGAACCGCAUGGUUCUACAGAGAAAGGCGGCUUUGCUUUCCCUUAUAGAUGGACCCGCGCCGUAUUAGCUAGUUGGUGAGGUAACGGGUGACCAAGGCAACGAUAAGUAGCCGACCUGAGAGGGUGAUCGGCGAUACUGGAACUGAGACACCAUCCAGACUCCUACGGGACACCGCAGUAGGCAACUAUGCGCAGUGGGAGAGAGCCUGACGGAGCAACGCCGCGUGAGGUAUGAGGGUAUUCGGAUCUUAAAACACUAUUAUUAGGGAAGAACAAAUGCGUAAGCAACUGUUCGCGUCUUGACGGUACCUAAUCAGAAAGCCACGGCUAACUACGUG
rnacentral:rRNA from 1 species